rnacentral:misc_RNA from 1 species
UCCCCGUUAUCCGAGGCAGUUUCCUAAGAGUUCCACCCUUUCGGGUAUGGCAACAUAGGAUAAGGGUUGCGCUCGUUGCGGGACUUAACCCAACAUCUCACGACACGAGCUGACGACAGCCAUGCAGCACCUCUGCUGGUUACCGAUUUGACGGUCCGUCUCAACUUUCAUCGAGACUACUUCCAGUAGUUCAAGCCCAGGUAAGGUUCUUCGCGUUGCGUCGAAUUAAACCACAUGCUCCACCGCUUGUGCGGGCCCCCGUCAAUUCCUUUGGGUUUCAACCUUGCGGCCGUACUCCCCAGGCGGCACAUUUAAUGCGUUUGCGUCGACACGAAGGGGGUCGAUACCCCUCACGUCUAAUGUGCAUCGUUUACAGCUAGGACUAC